rnacentral:lncRNA from 1 species
CAGCACUAUAUGAAGUUUCGUAUGAUUGUGAAUGUAAAACUGCACAAUAUUUGAUUGAAUGUAGCGAGAAAAGGAAUAUGUGGAAUUGUUUUGAUUCGUGAAACUGCAGAAGAGUGGAAGAGAUUGAAAUAGAUUGAAAGCAGCUUUGACAGAUGGAAAUUAUGUAUAUCAAGUAUUCUGCUAGUGAUAAGGUAUUUCUUAAGUUGCAUGUUGGAAGAAAAUCUGAGAUUUGAUUAAAAAGGUGGAAUUGAGUUCUCGUUUUGUUUGGGUAUCUGAGAUUAU